GUACUGUGCGAACGUUGUUCGGAAUUACUGGGCUUAAAGGGUGCGUAGGCGGUCAGUCAAGUCGGGUGUGAAAUCCCUCGGCUCAACCGAGGAACUGCGCCCGAAACUAAUUGGCUUGAGUGAGAUAGGGGUGUGCGGAACUUCCAGUGGAGCGGUGAAAUGUGUUGAUAUUGGAAGGAACACCGGUGGCGAAAGCGGCACACUGGGUCUCAACUGACGCUGAGGCACGAAAGCCAGGGGAGCGAACGGGGAUUAGAUACCCCCGGGUAGUCCUGGCUGUAAACGUUGAGCACUAGACGGGAGGAGCUCGGUUCAUCCGGUCGUAGCGAAAGCGAUAAGUGCUCCGCUGGGGGAUAGUGGUCGCAAGGCUG
rnacentral:rRNA from 1 species